GAAAUGCGAUACGUAAUGUGAAUUGCAGAAUUCAGUGAAUCAUCGAAUCUUUGAACGCAUAUUGCACUCUCUGGUAUUCCGGAGAGUAUGCUUGUUUGAGUAUCAGUAAACACCUCAGAAAGAAAUUUUUUUUUCUGGAUUUGAGCUGUCCCAACUCUUGUUCAGUCAAGAGGCGGGUUGCUUGAAAUGCAGGUGCAGCUGGACGUCUUCUGGGCUAUAAGCAUAUUCAUUUAGUCCCGUCAAACGGAUUAUAUUUUUUGCUGCAGCCAAUGUAAAGGGAGAAUGGCCGUGUGCUGACUGAUGCAGGAAUUUAUCAGGUCGCAAGAUCUGUAAACUCGAUCUCAAAUCAAGCAAGACUACCCGCUGAACUUAA
rnacentral:misc_RNA from 1 species